CCUACGGGAGGCAGCAGUGGGGAAUCUUGCACAAUGGGGGAAACCCUGAUGCAGCGACGCCGCGUGAGUGAAGAAGUAUUUCGGUACGUAAAGCUCUAUCAUCAGGGAAGAAAAUGACGGUGCCUGACUAAGAAGCACCGGCUAAAUACGUGCCAACAGCCGCGGUAAUACGUAGGGGGCAAGCGUUAUCCGGAUUUACUGGGUGUAAAGGGAGCGUAGACGGCAGCGCAAGUCUGGAGUGAAAUCCCAUGGCUUAACCAUGGAAAUGCUUUGGAAACUGUGCAGCUAGAGUGCAGGAGAGGUAAGCGGAAUUCCUAGUGUAGCGGUGAAAUGCGUAGAUAUAAGGAGGAACACCAGUGGCGAAGGCGGCUCACUGGACUGUAACUGACGUUGAGGCUCGAAAGCGUGGGGAGCAAACAGGAUUAGAUACCCGAGUAGUC
rnacentral:rRNA from 1 species